UACGUAGGGCGCAAGCGUUAUCCGGAAUUAUUGGGCGUAAAGGGCUCGUAGGCGGUUUGUCGCGUCGGGAGUGAAAACACGGGGCUUAACCCCGUGCCUGCUUCCGAUACGGGCAGACUAGAGGUAUGCAGGGGAGAACGGAAUUCCUGGUGUAGCGGUGAAAUGCGCAGAUAUCAGGAGGAACACCGGUGGCGAAGGCGGGUCUCUGGGCCGAUACUGACGCUGAGGAGCGAAAGCGUGGGGAGCAAACAGG
rnacentral:rRNA from 1 species